rnacentral:lncRNA from 1 species
ACCUUUUUAUUUAUUCAUUUUUUAAGAUUAUAAGAUUUUUAAGGAUUAUUUGAGUGAAAAAAAAAGAAGAAAGAAAAAUGAAUGAGCCAUAGAUCUCUUAUAGGACACAAACAAAUUUUUAUACAAUUCAAAUUUACAGGAAUAAACUAUAGCACCGUUUCACCUAAUCCAAAUUCUCAGAUGUUAAUUAGAAAUGCUAAUUAGAGCCUAAUUUAUUUACUUGAAGCAACUGGCUCACUUUUGGUAUCUCCAGCAUUUGUAAGAGAAGAAGCAUUUCCUCCUUCAACUUUUCCCCAUUCUGCAUUCUUCUCAAGCUCCUUGGCAGUGUCAUAAGAAGCAUGCAACCCCAAGAGCACAUAAUAUACCAACAAAAAGACAGUCCAAACGGCGAACCGUAUAAAAGAAUCCUUAUCCAUGGAAGCUAGAAGAAAGAAAUUAAUGGCAAUGGAUGCAGAUGGUAUCCAUGGUACCAAAGGUACACCCCAUACCUUUGGACUCCUAGCUUUUGGCACCAAAAUUGAUAUUCCAGCAGUUGCCAAGAACCAUAUUGGUAAUGUGACACAAUAUCCUUUCCAAUCAUCUGUAACACCCCAAAUAGUAGCAGUGCCAAUAGAUGAUGCCACAAUGAGUGCAAGAAACGCGAGGAGCUUGUUUCUAUUCUCUUUAGUGGUCACGUUACUGACAUAGUAACGCCGAACAAGAAGAGCAAGUGCCACAAGAAUGAAGAUAAAGAGUGUGGAUAUAGACAAAAGGUUUGAAAGAAUAUCAAGACUUGUAAAUAAUGCAAGAAGUGCACUAGAUGUCAUCAUGAAUAUAGUGGCAUUGGCUGGUGUUCCAGAUUUUGCAUUUACAUAAGAAAACCAAGGGGGCAUCAUGUGAGUUCUGGAAAUGUGCGUUAGAUAACGAGCUUGGCCUACACAGUUCACUAGCAAAACAGAGGUCAUCCCUUUUAACGCACCUGCAGCAACCACAUACUUUCCCCAGCCUAAACCAACAGCUUCAAAUGCAACUGAAAACGGGGCGUUGACAUCGAUAUUCUUGUACGAUUGCAUAAGACAGAGAACAGAAGCCAAUGCACAAUACAACACAGUGGUCAAUAAAACAGAACCAACUAGGCCAAUAGGGAUGUCCCUAGCAGGAUUCUUGGUUUCCUCGGCCAUAGUUGAAACAGCAUCAAAACCAGUAUAAGCGAAAAACAACACAGCCGAUGCUUUGAAUACACCACGAGGACCAAAUGGCAUAAAGGGGGUGAAGUUUUUGGUAUCCGCAUGGAUUAAACCAGCAACAAUGAUGAAGAGGAGGAUUAGGACAUGAACAACUGAUGCAAUAUAGUUGAUCCUAGAAGAAGCUUUGGUGCUAUUACAUGCAAUGAUGGAAAUUAUAAAGCAAACACCGAUGGCUAUCAGAUCAAGGCGAUUGUAGCCUUCUGCUAGAGAAUUUACCACGAUCCGGAAAUCGUCAGGUUGGCGGCCACAAAGAGUGGCGAAAUAGGAAGUCCAUGAGCGAGCCAUUGCGGCUGAACCAAUCACAUAU